rnacentral:rRNA from 1 species
AACAUUUGGAAACAGAUGCUAAUACCGCAUAGAUCCAAGAACCGCAUGGUUCUUGGCUGAAAGAUGGCGUAAGCUAUCGCUUUUGGAUGGACCCGCGGCGUAUUAGCUAGUUGGUGAGGUAAUGGCUCACCAAGGCGAUGAUACGUAGCCGAACUGAGAGGUUGAUCGGCCACAUUGGGACUGAGACACGGCCCAAACUCCUACGGGAGGCAGCAGUAGGGAAUCUUCCACAAUGGACGCAAGUCUGAUGGAGCAACGCCGCGUGAGUGAAGAAGGCUUUCGGGUCGUAAAACUCUGUUGUUGGAGAAGAAUGGUCGGCAGAGUAACUGUUGUCGGCGUGACGGUAUCCAACCAGAAAGCCACGGCUAACUACGUGCCAGCAGCCGCGGUAAUACGUAGGUGGCAAGCGUUAUCCGGAUUUAUUGGGCGUAAAGCGAGCGCAGGCGGUUUUUUAAGUCUGAUGUGAAAGCCCUCGGCUUAACCGAGGAAGCGCAUCGGAAACUGGGAAACUUGAGUGCAGAAGAGGACAGUGGAACUCCAUGUGUAGCGGUGAAAUGCGUAGAUAUAUGGAAGAACACCAGUGGCGAAGGCGGCUGUCUGGUCUGUAACUGACGCUGAGGCUCGAAAGCAUGGGUAGCGAACAGGAUUAGAUACCCUGGUAGUCCAUGCCGUAAACGAUGAAUGCUAGGUGUUGG